rnacentral:other from 1 species
GUUACAUUGCAGUGUACUUGUAGUUUUUCGGCAGUGAUCCUCUCGCAGUUCGUGACAGAUUCUUCCGUAAGCGCCUGGCAAGCGUCUGCAUGUCAACGAUCAAUUUUGUAUAGAGGAUAGCAACAUGGCUACUGGAACAGUUAAAUGGUUUAGCGACGAAAAAGGCUUCGGUUUUAUUACCCCGACCGAUGGCACCAAGGACGUAUUCGUUCAUCACAGCGCAAUUCAGGGCACCGGCUUCAAGUCGCUGGCUGAAGGCCAGAGCGUAUCGUUCGACGUUGAGCAGGGUCAGAAAGGCCCCAGCGCGACUAACGUCGUCGCCCAGUAAAAUGGGAUAGGGAUGCCUGGCAUCCCCGGAAAAGCCCCGCCAUCAGGCGGGGCUUUUUUU